AUACUUACCUGACCAAGGAAGAUUCCAUGAUCAUGAAGGUGGUUUUCCCAGGAUGAGGCUUAUCAAUUGCACUCCAGAUGUGCUGACUCUUGAGAUUUCCCCAAAUACAGGAAACUUGACUGCAUGGAAAGGA
ensembl:snRNA U1 U1 spliceosomal RNA